AACGAACGCUGGCGGCAUGCCUAACACAUGCAAGUCGAACGAGACCUUCGGGUCUAGUGGCGCACGGGUGCGUAACGCGUGGGAACCUGCCCUUAGGUUCGGAAUAACUCCCCGAAAGGGGUGCUAAUACCGGAUAAUGUCUUCGGACCAAAGAUUUAUCGCCUUUGGAUGGGCCCGCGUUGGAUUAGCUAGUUGGUAGGGUAAAAGCCUACCAAGGCGACGAUCCAUAGCUGGUCUGAGAGGAUGAUCAGCCACACUGGGACUGAGACACGGCCCAGACUCCUACGGGAGGCAGCAGUGGGGAAUAUUGGACAAUGGGCGAAAGCCUGAUCCAGCAAUGCCGCGUGAGUGAUGAAGGCCUUAGGGUUGUAAAGCUCUUUUACCCGGGAUGAUAAUUACAGUACCGGGAGAAUAAGCUCCGGCUAACUCCGUG
rnacentral:rRNA from 1 species